GAAACUUGAUACGUGGUGGUGGAUUUGAGGAAAUAGAUCACGAAGAUGAAGAACAAGUGAUGGAGCGAAUUGAAAUACAACCUCUUUACGGUUGUAUGAAGCUUUGCAAUGACUUUUACAGAUGUAAAACGGAUUCCGUCUAUAAAGGCCAAACAAAAGAAGACACAUAAUAAGAAGAAGUUGGAUUUUAUUCCGUGAUACUAAUUAGAUUUGGAACGAACGAAGAAGACAUCAAUUUUUAUACGAUAAAAUGGGUACACAAUGGGGGGAGAAGGGCUACCUAAAAGUAGCCAGACCAUCAAGUCUACCUGAAGAAGGAGAACGUGAAUAUGGCCGUUGCAAACGUGAACAUGAGGGAGUGUAUACAUAUACUGUUGAUGCGACUCUUUACUACAUCAAAGUGAACAUAAUUGUAGAAGAUAGGUAUUAUGGCUCCUUUACAAGAAAAGAAUGAAAAUUCAAACGAAAGACAAGAGAGCAGAUGAGAAACUUGAUACGUGGUGGUGGAUUUGAAGAAAUAGAUCACGAAGAGGAAGAACAAGUGAUGGAACGAAUUGAAAUACAACCUCUUUACGGUUGUAUGAAGCUUUGCAAUGGCUUUUACAAAUGUAAAGGGCAACUGGGAUCUCGAUCUCUCUCGCAUCAAAUGGGUUCUCUAGCCAAGUGGGUAAAUGCUGUUUGGGAUCAUAUGUUCGACAAACCAUAAUCUUCAGCAAAAAAGGAGAAGUUGGAGGUUGAAGUGCAUCACGAAUCAACAACCUUGAACGCACACCAGACGACAAUUCAAACAAGAUGCAAUUUGCCACACCACACCUAAAGCCCCUGCGAUUUUGUCAACCUCGUCAACUAUUCCAAUUUCCAGCACCCUCCCAAUCCACGCACUCCAUGACAAUCUUUUGAAUGUUAUUCUUCACUUAAAAGAAUAAAAUCAAAUCAUUUGACAUAUCCACUCGUAGAGAAAAAGACAAAGGAUAUCCAACUUUAAUAUUUUGAAAG